AGGAUAAUUGAAUGAAAAACGAAAACUGUGUGGUUCGAUUUUGGCGUUGUAAUUGCAAAUCAUCGUGUUUGGUCGAAUGCAGAUUUGCAGCCACUGUAAAUCGAAGGAACUGUUUCGUGUUCGCUGCCUAUCGUUACCUAUCGUUCGUUGGAAUAUUGUUGAAAGGUAGCCAGUAGGAAAACUGAAGAUUGAAUAUGAAACUGGAAUGUAGUAUUGUGCUGCACUCAACGUUUCUGAAACUGUAACUAUCGUUGGAAGAACAUUUCUUACAUUUCUUCUUGACCCAACCGAGAGAGUGCGUAUCAUGUACGAGACUAUCUCGAUAAUGAUCUGGUACGAUACGAAGACUCGGCGCUAACAAACUGAUGUCAAUUAAGUACCUACCAACUAUGGAAAAAAGGAAAUAAUUAAUUUAGAAUGAAAAUCAACACGAUGAAGCUGUUUGAAAAAGAAAUUUCGAAGAACGGAAACUCCAGGCUUUUUAAUGAAGAUGAAGAAUGAAGACGUGAAAUAUGAUUUCUUUUUUGUUCUAUAACGACAAAGAGAAGACGAAGUGAGCCAGUGACGACGAAGAAAAGAACCGAGCGAGGCUUUCUGUUAAUCUUAAUCGAGCUCGUCUUCGAGAUGAUUAUCAUCGGCGGUUUAAUAUUCAUUAUCCUUGAAUCAGACGCGACGGCGAGAAAAAGAGAGGUGCAUUUUGCAUCGACCAAGAUGAAGAAAAUUACGUGUGCGACGUAAUAGGUUGUGAAUCCAUAAUGGAAGAAUUAUGCUAAUUAACGGGUCUGUGCGAUGUCUCAUCCAUUUGGAAGUUCAAAGCUCUACGUUUCGAAGUAUAAAAUGAGUAAAAAGUAAUUGCCGAAAUAGAGGGUAGGUUCAAAUACCUGCUAUUUCACUUUUUUUUUUGUUCGUUGGAAUGUGUCUCCGAAUACCUCGCUUAGUCCUAUCUAUGGUUUGGAAUUUUAUUCGGCGAAUGAUCGAAUAGCCUGUUGAAUGUACCUAUAUUAUGUAUUGCGUGAGCUCGAGUUUGAAUUCUUUUAUUAUAGGUACACGAAUCGGGAUCAGAUUGGUUCCAUUUGUCGAUGGUUACCUUUUACCACACCGAGCACGUUAAUCUUAUUACGAGCAAUUUAUCAUAACAUCUGCUUGAGAAGAUACCGCAGUAGACUAAGAAAGAACUAAAGAUGAAGAGAGAUGAUUUUUUUUCUCUCUUUCUCAUUCCUUUCAUAGAAACGUCUCCGAAAUCUCGGAGUAGUUGUAGAAAAAAAAACUCUUUUGUGGUUCGUAUAGAAAGAAUAUGUGCCUAUUACCUCUUCCACCUACUCCGUCCUCUCGUUGUAUGCAAAUAAACCAACAUUUGGAAGUUUUUUUUUUGUUUAUACACAAACUGUCGACUGUAGGAUUGUUUAUUAUCGCGAACCUAUUUACAUUUUGUCACUUUUUUGUAUGGAGAGAAUGUGACCGAAGAGUGAGGUUUUGUUUUGUUCUUUGUCAACAGAGAUCCCAGACUGGAGACCUCCUCUGUUGUACAUCUACGUUUCUAUUCGAAUCGUUGUGAAAUUUUUUUUUUCAACGAAGAUCCUGUGACGUUUUGUUUUGGUAUUUGGUCUAGUUUGUGGUCGUUGUGCUGUCGCGAAAACCGUUUUAUUAUUUAUUACCUAGACGAGGAAACCGUUUCAGAAGUUUGGGACUUGGGUGAUUGAUGUCGUUGUGUGAGGUAGGAAUGAGGAGCCCUGAUCUUGGAUUUUUUUUUGAAUUGAGAAAAUAGGUGUACUGGUUGAAUUGAAUUGACUGAGUGUGUUUCGUUUUCAUUGCAUUGAUACGUCAUUUUUUUACUUUUUUAAUGUGUGAAUGUGACGACUGUCGGAUGUUUUUAGUGGGUAUUGUUCCCCUAUUGAUAAUUCUAAUUAAUUGAGAUUGCUAUUCGUGUGGAAACGAAAUUAAGUUCUUGUAGAUUUGUUAGUUCCUUAUUUAAUCGCCUCCAAGUGGUCGAUUAUCGUUUCUUUGUCAUCAGGUGUUAUGUGUCUGAAAUGAAGACAAAGAAAGAGGAAGUAAUUAUUGUGAAAUGUGGAUCGUUAUUUUUAAAUAUGGACAUUCCCCUUCAUUUCUCGUUAAAUUAUCGUAAUUUUCGUUAGAAUGGUUCGAAUAAAAUUACCUAGGGAAUUCGUGGUAUACGCUUAUUUAACGUUCAUUUUUUUUUUGCCUGAAAACUCGACAUUUUAACUCUUCUUAUUUCAAGUUCAGUUAACUUAAUCUGAAAGAUGAGAUUUUAUAGAUUAAAAA